AUGAUCCUAGUAUCACCAACCAAGCGACCACAACACUUCCAGUGCCGAUCAUCACACGCGGCCGUGGCCCUCCAUCUGCUACUUCUCGGUGUAGCACUGGCAAUGGCGAGCGGCACCACAAGGGCACACGCCGUCCACGCGCCGUGCUGCAACCUGCUCCAGGGGGUGAACCUGGCGCCGUGCCUGGCGAUGGCGGCGUCAGGCGGCGGCGCCGUGAACAUAAGCGCCGCCUGCUGCUCGUCGCUGAACGAGGCGCUCGACGCCGGCCGCCGCUGCCUGUGCUCGCUGCUGCUGGCCAACGGCGUGCUCGCCGGCCUCGUCGCCACCCUGAUCCCCACGCUCCCCAUGGUGCUGCCGCUGCCCGGGUGCUACCUCUACGCGCCUCCUCUCGCGGCCUGCCAAGUGACGUUGCUGCAGACGAGUUAUGAUGCGCCGCCGGCGUCGGCAUCUGUGGCUGCGGGCGUGGGGGAUGCUGCUGGCGGCGCGGUGGAUCCGGCGCCUCCUCAGGCCGACAUCGCGCCGCCGCCUAAGAAUGGUAGUGUGGCUGGGACGAAGGAUGGUGGGAGGACGGACGGGAGCGGAGGCAAUGGCUCUAGGGAGGAGCAGAGCGUUAGAAGGAGCGAAGCAUACCGGCGGCCCGGCGUUGGUGAGGGUAGGAUGUACAUGCUGAUCUUUGCGGCGGUCAUGGCUGUAUUUUUGUUCGAUUAA
rnacentral:rRNA from 1 species